GGAUGUAGCUCAGUUGGUUAGAGCGCUAGUUUGUGGCACUAGAGGCCGUGGGUUCGAGUCCCAUCUUC
rnacentral:tRNA from 3 species